AAUGUGUGUAUUUUCCAUAAUUAAGCAAAAUUCCUCAGGAGAAGAUAUAAUUUACUCAUCCCUAACAAUGUAAAAGGUAAACAGGUUAGCUUGGUGACUUAGAACACAGUACUAAUGAGCCCAAAGUUGUAGGACAGUUCACUUCACCUGACCCCUGGCCACAGAUGUUAUUUUUGACUUUCAUCAACUCUCCAACAAAUGCCUUGCCAUGGUUAGAAGGGCAACCAGGUAAAAGAAUAUGGUUAAGUUGCCACAAAGGACAAUAGCAGCAAGCCC
rnacentral:lncRNA from 1 species